UACGAAGGGGGCUAGCGUUGCUCGGAAUCACUGGGCGUAAAGGGUGCGUAGGCGGGUCUUUUAAGUCAGAGGUGAAAUCCUGGAGCUCAACUCCAGAACUGCCUUUGAUACUGAGGGUCUUGAGUAAGACAGAGGUGAGUGGAACUGCGAGUGUAGAGGUGAAAUUCGUAGAUAUUCGCAAGAACACCAGUGGCGAAGGCGGCUCACUGGGUCAUUACUGACGCUGAGGCACGAAAGCGUGGGGAGCAAACAGG
rnacentral:rRNA from 1 species